AAUUCUGUCCACAGAAAAAAACUUGAGGGCUUUUAUUUUUUAAACGGAAGCAGGAAGUGCUGAUUUAAAAAUAAAUCUUUACUUUUUUUCAUGUCCGUGACAUAUUCUACCGAUACAGAGAUUGAAACUGUAAUGUUGCUGGUUUGAUGUCAAUAUACUAUCAAAAGAUCACUGUCAGAUAUUAUUCACGUAGCACGUGCAAUAUAUAUGUCACAAUGUGCAGCCCUGUCCCCAGAGGAGGAAUCCUAAUGACUUAGGUAUAUACCCUCUAUAGCGCCACCAGCAGGUGGACAUUUGUGUUUCAAUGCUUUGGUAGUUGGGAUGCUGCAGCGAGUAACUCUUUUGUUGAGCACGUGAUGGACGAUGAAUUGUAGUUCUCAUUCCUGGAGUAUUUGGAUUUGGUUUCUAACCUAAAUGACCUGAAACUAGUGCCGAGCUGUGAAUAAUCUGUGCAUGCUUGGUGACACGUAAGAGGACGCUGGGCCCGGCCACCACCACCACCACCACCACCCAGCUCAGGCCCACAUCUUUUCUGUGGCGUCGCCAUUCGACGGAACUCGAUAUAUACUGUGGCCUUGGUGGUGGGGGAGGCUCUGGCAGAUAGCACUUAACGGUGACAAAGUUGCUGGAGGAGGAAUCUGCUCUCGAGGCUCCAAAAGACAGAUCUCCUCGCAGUUGGCCGGUAGAAAUAUCCCUCCCAUGUGGAUGAUGGAAUUGUAUGAAAGACGCCGAGCCGGUUGUCUUUUCUGAUGAAAUCCUGGAGGAGUGAGAAGCCGAAUCUGACCCUGGGCCAGCUGACACCAGCGCUCUCCCUUUGAGAAAGAAACCUAUUUUAGUGAGCGAACCGUUCCUCGUAUCUAAUCCGGUUCUGGAGAAUCGACCAACCUCGUCUCCCCUCUCCUGGCUCCUGCAACUAUAGUUCUCUUUGUAGCUCGCACCAUGAUGGAGGAGGAGAGACUCUUCAAUGCUGCUGCUAACAUUAUUGAUGAAGGGAGAAGGAGGCUCACCGCUCAGAGGGCUGACAUUGUUGUAUUUCUCAAGAAGAAUCUGGCCCUCAAAAACACAACUGACACAUGAGAUGAGGCAAAAAGUAAUCAGUGAUUGCUGUUGGCUUGUAAAAUGGAGAAAUUGAGUGUUGUGUACUAUAAACAACUACAUUUAAGUCAUACUGCAAAAUGUACUAAAAUACACACACAGCCCAGCUAUGUUGACGGAGAAGCUCGGAUUACAACACACACAGAGGGAGAGUGACUUAAUUCUCUUCUCA